rnacentral:rRNA from 1 species
UACGUAGGGGGCAAGCGUUGUCCGGAUUUAUUGGGCGUAAAGGGCGUGUAGGCGGCUUUACAGGUCCGUUGUGAAAACUCGAGGCUCAACCUCGAGACGCCGGUGGAAACCGUAAAGCUAGAGUCCGGAAGAGGAGAGUGGAAUUCCUGGUGUAGCGGUGAAAUGCGCAGAUAUCAGGAGGAACACCCGUGGCGAAAGCGGCUCUCUGGGACGGUACUGACGCUGAGACGCGAAAGCGUGGGGAGCAAACAGG